GUAAAAACAAAUUCUGGGAGAUGUGGGCAGAGCCUGUUUCAUCAAAGAGCAAAGGUUGUAAACCCACAUCAUUCCUGGCAUUCCCUGAAGAACUGCUACUCAUCCCAUUCCAAAGAAGACAUAAGCCACCUGUAUAAUAAUCCUGGCUCUCCAGUGCUUCUCAGAGUGUACAAGGCCCUUUUUUUGUUCUUUACUGUUGUGAGUUCUACUGUUCCUGUGUGAACUGUUUGCUGAAGACAUAAGCUAAGACAUAUUAUUCUAUCAUCUGGAAGUCACCUUUUUCUGCAAGGCCAGAACGGCACAGAAAGAAAGGCCUACUUCAAUUCUGGAGAAGACCAAGAGACUGUCUUCUCUAAGAAAUCUGUCCCAAACAACUGGAGAAGGGGUUAUGCCAAAAGCUGUUGCCUGUACCUGGAAUAAGUUCUUCUAGGAUGCCUACUGUCACUGUUCCCUUCACAUUGUGCCCUGUGCCCUCAUCACUGUCCCAGAGCCUAGUGAGUUAGUGAGGUACAGCUGCUCUCCUGAGCUUUGGCCAUGGUGAA
rnacentral:lncRNA from 1 species